rnacentral:sRNA from 1 species
UGCAGGGCAGACGCACAAGAGCAGAAUCUCCGUGGGACAUCUCUCUGGAGCAUCAAUAUUACUGCAGUAUUUGGAAGAAACAAAUUUAAAUAAGUUCUAAGGUAAAGAAUGGAACAUUUAAGACAAGUCUGGAAAGUCAUCUGCCUUUAAUAACUGUCGUUUGUCCCUCACGUCAGACUUUCUCCAAGACAAAAACUCUAAGAACUUAUUUCCAUUCUUACAAAUAGUAAAAAUGAUAAAUCAUAUCAAGUCCAUUGAAAGUCCUGCCUGCUACUUUCCUAAAUCGCAAUAUGGCCUUGGUAUGGUUUUAUUUGUACUUUUGUGGGGGGUUCGUGGAUCUUUAGAU